rnacentral:rRNA from 1 species
UAGCGGAGGAAAAGAAACCAACAGGGAUUGCCUCAGUAACGGCGAGUGAAGCGGCAAAAGCUCAAAUUUUAAAGCUGGCAUCUUCGGUGUCCGCGUUGUAAUUUUGUGAGGCAUCUCCGGGUAGGGCGCCGGCCUAAGUUCCUUGGAACAGGACGUCAUAGAGGGUGAGAAUCCCGUGCUUGGCUGGCUGUCCCCGUCCAUGUGAGGUGUCUUCGACGAGUCGAGUUGUUUGGGAAUGCAGCUCAAAAUGGGUGGUAAAUUUCAUCUAAAGCUAAAUAUUGGUGGGAGACCGAUAGCGCACAAGUAGAGUGAUCGAAAGAUGAAAAGCACUUUGAAAAUAGAGUUAAAAAGUACGUGAAAUUGUUGAAAGGGAAGCGCUUGAGACCAGACUUCGGUAGGGAGUGAUCAGCUGUCCUUCUGGGCGGUGCACUUGCUCCCCUCCGGGCCAGCAUCGGUUGGGACGGCGGGAUAAAGGUCCCGGGAAUGUGGCUCCUUUCGGGGAGUGUUAUAGCCCGGGUGAAUGCCGCCAGCCCCGACCGAGGACCGCGCCUUCGGGCUAGGAUGCUUGGCAUAAUGGUCUUCAGCGACCCGUCUUGA